rnacentral:rRNA from 1 species
AUCCUGGCUCAGAGCAAACGCUGGCGGCAUGCUUAACACAUGCAAGUCGAACGAAGGCCCGGAGCUUGCCCCGGUCACCUUAGUGGCGGACGGGGGAGUAACGCGUGGGAACCUGCCCAGGAGCGGGGAAUAACCAUUGGAAACGAUGGCUAAUACCGCAUACACCCUACGGGGGAAAGGCUUCGGCCGUUCUUGGAUGGUCCCGCGCCCGAUUAGCUUGUUGGUGAGGUAACGGCUCACCAAGGCGACGAUCGGUAGCUGGUCUGAGAGGAUGAUCAGCCACACUGGGACUGAGACACGGCCCAGACUCCUACGGGAGGCAGCAGUGGGGAAUAUUGGACAAUGGGGGAAACCCUGAUCCAGCAAUGCCGCGUGAGUGAUGAAGGCCCUAGGGUUGUAAAGCUCUUUCGGCGGGGAAGAUAAUGACUGUACCUGAAUAAGAAGGUCCGGCUAACUUCGUGCCAGCAGCCGCGGUAAUACGAAGGGACCUAGCGCAGUUCGGAAUUACUGGGCUUAAAGAGCACGUAGGUGGUUAAGAAAGUUGGCGGUGAAAUCCCAAGGCUUAACCUUGGAACUGCCACCAAAACUAUUUAACUGGAGUAUGAUAGAGGUAAGCGGAAUUUCUAGUGUAGAGGUGAAAUUCGUAGAUAUUAGAAAGAACACCGAUUGCGAAGGCAGCUUUCUGGAUCACUACUGACACUGAGGUGCGAAAGCAUGGGUAGCGAAGAGGAUUAGAUACCCUCGUAGUCCAUGCCGUAAACUAUGUGUGCUAGACGUUGGAAAUUUAUUUUUCAGUGUCGUAGCAAAAGCGUUAAGCACACCGCCUGGGGAGUACGACCGCAAGGUUAAAACUCAAAUGAAUUGACGGGGACCCGCACAAGUAGUGGAGCAUGUGGUUUAAUUCGAAGAUACGCGCAGAACCUUACCAACACUUGACAUGUUCGUCGCGACUCUAAGAGAUUAGAGUCUUCGGUUCGGCCGGACGAAACACAGGUGCUGCAUGGCUGUCGUCAGCUCGUGUCGUGAGAUGUUGGGUUAAGUCCCGCAACGAGCGCAACCCUUACUUUUAGUUGCUACCAUUUAGUUGGGCACUCUAAAAGAACUGCCGGUGAUAAGCUGGAGGAAGGUGGGGAUGACGUCAAGUCCUCAUGGCCCUUACGUGUUGGGCUACACACGUGCUACAAUGGUAUCUACAGUGGGAUGCAAAGAGGCAACUCCUAGCAAACCCUAAAAAGAUACCUCAGUUCGGAUUGCACUCUGCAACUCGAGUACAUGAAGCUGGAAUUACUAGUAAUCGCGGAUCAGCGCGCCGCGGUGAAUACGUUCCCGGGUCUUGUACACACCGCCCGUCACACCAUGGAAGUUGGUUACACCUUAAGGCAAAGUGUAAAAGCUUUGACCACGGUACGAUCAGCGACUGGGGUGAAGUCGUAACAAGGUAGCC